GCAUAUCAAUAAGCGGAGGAAAAGAAACCAACAGGGAUUGCCCUAGUAACGGCGAGUGAAGCGGCAACAGCUCAAAUUUGAAAUCUGGCGCAAGCCCGAGUUGUAAUUUGUAGAGGAUGCUUCUGGGUAGCGGCCGGUCUAAGUUCCUUGGAACAGGACGUCAUAGAGGGUGAGAAUCCCGUAUGUGACUGGCUUGCACCCUCCACGUAGCUCCUUCGACGAGUCGAGUUGUUUGGGAAUGCAGCUCUAAAUGGGAGGUAAAUUUCUUCUAAAGCUAAAUACCGGCCAGAGACCGAUAGCGCACAAGUAGAGUGAUCGAAAGAUGAAAAGCACUUUGGAAAGAGAGUUAAAAAGCACGUGAAAUUGUUGAAAGGGAAGCGCCCGCAACCAGACUUUGCGGCAGUGUUCGGCCGGUCUUCUGACCGGUUUACUCGCUGUCGUGAGGCCAUCAUCGUCUGGGACCGCUGGAUAAGACCUUAGGAAUGUGGCUCCCCUCGGGGAGUGUUAUAGCCUCUGGUGAUGCAGCGCGUCUCGGGCGAGGUCCGCGCUUCGGCAAGGAUGAUGGCGUAAUGGUUGUCGGCGGCCCGUCUUGAAACACGGACCAAGGAGUCUAACAUCUAUGCGAGUGUUCGGGUGUCAAACCCCUACGCGUAAUGAAAGUGAACGGAGGUGGGAACUUUUUGUGCACCAUCGACCGAUCCUGAUGUCCUCGGAUGGAUUUGAGUAAGAGCAUAGCUGUUGGGACCCGAAAGAUGGUGAACUAUGCCUGAAUAGGGUGAAGCCAGAGGAAACUCUGGUGGAGGCUCGCAGCGGUUCUGACGUGCAAAUCGAUCGUCAAAUUUGGGUAUAGGGGCGAAAAGACUAAUCGAACCAUCUAGUACCUGGUUCCUGCCGAAG
rnacentral:rRNA from 1 species